UCAUUCUUUUCCUUCACUGCUUCACACCAAAACCCUAGCCUCCAUAUAUCCCGAUUAAUUGAAGCUUCUACCAUCUGAGAGGUUUUACAAUCUAAAUGAUUCCAUUCUUCCUCUUUUCCAUUCCAUUCUUCAUUCUCUCUAUCUAACCCUAAAUUCCUUUCCAUUCUUCCUUGAGAAGCUACUAAUCUCUCUAUCUCCUUCUUCACCGUCACUUCUUUUCUAAAACCUAGGUAUGAUUUUCGUUAACUAUCUUCUCAUCAUUUAAUUGAUUAUAUCUUCUCUAAAAAUCUCAAGUCCAUUUCGGAUCCAGAUGUUGUUCAAGUCAGAAGUAGAUGUGUGGGAUUUCAUCUUCCAGGUUUUCUUCUUUCUGGCUGCAAUAACUGGUUGCAUCUCUGUCAUCGUCAACAUCAAGUUUAGUGAAGAUCUUCUGGUUUCUGAUGGAUCGAAUUUCCAAGCUAAUGGACAAGAAUGCCAAGUUCGGCAUAAGCUUAAUCGUCAGUCCUCUCAUCCCCUCCUUCUCUAAACAUAGAUUUGCGUAUCGUACAGAUAUGGUGUGAUGGAGUAUGAACCUAGAGCUUGCGCUGUUAUGGCCCGUGAACGUGAAGAGCGAAGAUAAAGUUAAACUUAAAAGAGGCAAAGCCAAUACGAGUAAACAUGUUGUUUAGAACGUUUUUGGGUCCAUAUGUGUUUUGUGCAAGAUAAGUUUGGAUGAAAAAGGUGCCGUUAUAAAGAAGUAUCAUUUUUUGGGUAAAAACGAGUUAUGGCCAAAAUUGAGUGAGUUUUAAAUGAGUCAUUGUGGAGAAUGUACCAAAACAGGAUUACCGGUUAUAUUUUUUUAUAGGUUAAUUGGUAUUUGGAAUGGGUUCGGUUCAGUUACUGGUCGUUUUGCUGCUGUUUAUUCAUUUUGUUAUUUUUGACCUAAUUUGUUAUUGUUUUGAGUACUGAUCCAUUUUUCCUAUUUCCGUAAUGUUGCUACUGCUAUUAUCUGUUUCCUCUUCUUCAGGUUUAAUCAUCAGUCUACUGUUUUUGGAUGAUCCAUAUUCUCUUACCUGUUCGAAAACAAUGAUUCCAUCGUUCUUUAAGGUUACUUUUGGCACUUGGAGAUGUUUUCAGGUAGAAAAGUGGGGUUGGUAGAAGGUGGUCAUGAUCUUGAUGUUGCAGACCUUAAAACGCAAAUAUGAUGUACUGUGUUUUUCUUGGAACUCACAAAAAAGUUUUGAAGUGGGUGUAGAAUGAUCAUUUUGCCUUUGGCCCGACUUUAUCAAUGUUAAUAUUUAAAAGUGUCGGCCAAUAAGAGGUGUAGAUCAAUCUACUGAAGUAAUGUCUGGCGGUAAUAUCGGCACAAGAGUUUUUAUUUCAAGGCUUAAUAUGAUUCAUUCUGACAAAAAAAUACCAUUCGAAUUUCAACGAAGACAACUUCCUCUAUCAGUUUGUUUUGCCAUGACAAUUAACAAGAGUCAAGGACAAUCCUUAUCAAAAGUUGGUCUAUAUUUGAAAGAUCAUGUGUUCACUCAUGGUCAGUUGUACGUUGCAUUAUCAAGGGUCAAGACCAGAGAAGGAGUUAAAAUAUUGAUAUUCGAUGCCGAUGGAAAACCAACAAAUAAGACGUCUAAUGUCGUCUAUAAAGAAGUCUUUGGUAGCUUAUAAUGUAAACUGUUGGUUUUUGAUUUCAUAUAACAUGUUACUUAUUUUUUAUCAUUUUAUUUAAGUAUUUAUUGCUUAUAAA